rnacentral:rRNA from 1 species
AGUGAACGCUGGCGGUAGGCCUAACACAUGCAAGUCGAACGGCAGCACAGUAAGAGCUUGCUCUUACGGGUGGCGAGUGGCGGACGGGUGAGGAAUACAUCGGAAUCUACUUUUUCGUGGGGGAUAACGUAGGGAAACUUACGCUAAUACCGCAUACGACCUACGGGUGAAAGCAGGGGAUCUUCGGACCUUGCGCGAUUGAAUGAGCCGAUGUCGGAUUAGCUAGUUGGCGGGGUAAAGGCCCACCAAGGCGACGAUCCGUAGCUGGUCUGAGAGGAUGAAAGGGGCAGCGGGGAGUAGGAGACGGUCCAAACACGGACGGGGGGGCAAGGGGGGAAGUAUGAGGCAGGGGGGGGAGGCGUAAACCAGCAAUGCCGGGGGGGUAAAGAAGGCCUUCGGGUUGGAAAGCCUUUUUGGGGGGAAAGAAAAGAAGCAGGUGAAAACCCCGCUGUUGUGACGGUACCCAAAAAAAAAACACCGGCUAACUUCGU